UAGGGAAUCUUCGGCAAUGGACGAAAGUCUGACCGAGCAACGCCGCGUGAGUGAAGAAGGUUUUCAGAUCGUAAAACUCUGUUGUUAGAGAAGAACAAGGACGUUAGUAACUGAACGUCCCCUGACGGUAUCUAACCAGAAAGCCACGGCUAACUACGUGCCAGCAGCCGCAGUAAUACGUAGGUGGCAAGCGUUGUCCGGACUUAUUGGGCGUAAAGCGAGCGCAGGCGGUUUCUUAAGUCUGAUGUGAAAGCCCCCGGCUCAACCGGGGAGGGUCAUUGGAAACUGGGAGACGUGAGUGCAGAAGAGGAGAGUGGAAUUCCAUGUGUAGCGGUGAAGUGCGUAGAUAUAUGGAGGAACACCAGUGGCGAAGGCGGCUCUCUGGUCUGUAACUGACGCUGAGGCUCGAAAGCGUGGGGAGCAAACAGG
rnacentral:rRNA from 1 species